GAUGAAGUCUCUGGUUUAUGUGGCCCUUUCUGUCUCUUGGGCUAAUACUUUUCUUGGUGUUCUUCAUUCUUCUUUACUCCAGGUGGGUGGGAGUAUACUGAAAGUUUUGAUCAAGUAACCAACGGAUGGAUCCUGAUCAAAAGGAGGAAAAGCAUGGAACAGAACUUCAAACUUAGAUGAAAACUAGACUUAACGGAUCCAUUGAAAUUGGGAGAACUCCUGAAUCUAAUGCCCAGAAAUAAUCUUUAAACCUUAAACCAAUACUAUUUAAUGAAGCAUUGUUAAGCUAAACAAAAGUUUAUCCCAGUUAAUAAAUCACAUUUGCCUUGAGCAAAGGACUCGUAUAAAGAAUUAUCUGUGAGUUUAAAAUGACAGCAGUUAAUGGUGACCAAACGAUGAGCAGAGAUGGAAUGGUGACACAAUGUGAACUGUAGGAGGUGACUUCGGCCAACAACCUGAGGGAACUUAGAAGUGAAUCUUUCUCCAGUUGAGCCUCUGAUGAGACCACAACCUUGGCCAACAUCUGGAUUAUCCAACACCUAGUGAGACCUGGAGAGAGAGAACCCAGCUAAACUGCCCAGACUUCUGACCUAUAGAAACUGAGCCCCAGACAGAUGUAUGGCUCUGGCUGAGUAGAGAAAAGACAAUGCAUGUGAAGAUGCAAAAGAGGAAAGCCCAUUAAUAUAUUUCAGAAAUGUUACUCUUGUUAUACCAGAAUUCAGGUUGAAGCAAGAGGUUCAAUAAACCCUCUAUUUCCCAGAGGACAGAAACAUGGAGGAAAUAUAAAGAGACUGGUAUGGAUUGAGUUGUGUUCUCCAAAUAGAUACGUUGUGAUUGUGAUUUUGUUUGGGAAAAUAGGGUCUUUCUGUCUUUUUAAAAAUUUUGUUGUGGUGAAAAUAUGUAUAACAAAACAUACACCAUCUCAACAAUUUCUAC